UCUCAGGAACACCAACAACAGCUCCUUUCACCUGAGUUUGUGGCAAACUCAUUCAGACACGCACUGUUACAGGAGUAGCUCAUGUUUUCAAUAAAGACACACUGAGGGAUCAGGCCUAGACGGACCUGCCAGGGACAGCCAUUCAAGUUUUCACUGUAUUGUAUGAGUUGUCUGAAGAUCCGGGAACUUCACAUGGGAUAUCAUAUAUCGCUUGACUGGUGAGGAAUUCCGCAAAUUGAAAAGGAGUAUUCUUGGAAAGGAUUUUCCAAGUCAUCAGUGGAAACCCAAACUUAAAGUGCCACCAACGUUUUCAUUCAAACUAGAGCCUUAACAGUUUUAAGAUCUAACCCAUCAAACCAAAGAGCCUGUCAAGGAUUGAGUCACUGGCUCUAUCUGACUGAUUCCUGUCCCGUUCGCCUUAUACAACCAGCCGUUAUGAAUGUAUCUCUGGAAAACCCUUAUGGAAACGUGAACAUCCCUCGGGCUAAGCUACGUACUUCUGGAGACAGCACAGUCAUUAUAAACCCCAUGGCCCUGGACAGUACCUAUAGCAACCACAACUCCUCCCUCAACCCCUACGGCGCCUUCAGGCCUGGGGGGACGUCUCCAGGCCACUCGGAGGGUACCAAGGAUGGGGAGGGUAACGGUGACGCCUCAAACGCCUCCGCCUACCAAGUCCAGUCCUCCUAUACAGUGAAGGACGACACGGAGGAGGACGUGGGCCGCUGUCGGGCCUGCUGCCUACGAUGCCGACGUAAGUGACCCGGAAAACCUCGGCACAGAACAGGAACCUGUCAAACCACGGAAAACACCCCGACCCGACUGCCAAGGAUUCUUGUGUGUAUAAAUUUAAGACAAUCAAUGAAUCCAAUCUGGUUUUACCUGUUUUUCAAGCCAAAGCCGUAACUGGCUAAAUAUGUGUCGUUUUUUGAAGGAUUCAUCGGUGGGAUCAUGGAAAUGUAAUUCCAAAAGGGAUUCUUCUCAAAAUUGGAUGUAAGCUCCCCUUGCAGACACAGUGGCAGAAUCUGCAUUGGAAACAAGUCUGUCACAUAAGCUUUUGACUUACGGCUUAGUCGGUUUGGGUUGUCUUGUUGACACUACUGCUUGCUACAGUAUAUUCGGGUGUGGAAAUGAUUGUUGCUAUAUUUAUAACCUAAUGUCUUUAAACCUGAUUUAUAUUUGUCUGUCAGUGUUGAGUGACGUCAAAAAAGUCACUCUUGGUCAGAUGAUGCACCUAGACAGUCUUCAGGGAAUGGUAGCACGUAAGCCAAAGGCUACAAUACACAAAUGUUAAGGAAUUGGUAUUUAGAUAUCCUUUCAAUUAUUUUAUCAAACUGAAACGUAUACAAUAUAUAAAAUGUUACCUUGUACUGUAGGCUUGUACUGUGUCUUGCCACUGACAGAUGUAACCAAACCAGCACGGUGAAACUAGAGGAGGGGCAGCUAGCUUAGAGACCAGGACAGUUUUACCAGUCCAGUCCCUCCAACACAUACCACACCGUAACAACAGUCAAUCCCGUUGAUCCAUCUGCUGGGCUGGUCGCUCUGCUGCUGAUGGUUAACAAUGCAGCCUUUGUGCGAGUGGGUCCCUGGAAAUCAGGCCACUCUGUAUGUGGUUGCCAUAUUGUCCCUCCUGGCCAAAACAUGUUCAAACCAGACAAGGCCUGUGUCAUUUGAUUGGAUAAAAUACAUUAAAUGUAAUGUGGUCACACU